CCUUUAACUUAUCUCGAGUCCUCUCCUUAGGCCUUCCUUGCCUCUCAUUAAUAGUAAGUACCUCUGAACUUAGGUUUCCUUUACAUAGCCUCUCUGGCUGCUCAUUAGACCUGAGAACCCCAACCAUUUCUUUGAAGUUCAAGGUCUCUUUUCCAUACACCAAUGCAAUAAUGAGAUCGUCAUAAGAAACUAGCAAUGAACACAAUAACAGGAGAGCUCUAUCCUCCUCAUCCAUCUUUACAUCAAGGCUCAUGACCUCUGAGCAAUUUCUGGAUGUGGGCAA
rnacentral:lncRNA from 1 species